AUUGAACGCUGGCGGCAGGCUUAACCCAUGCAAGUCGAGCGGGGAAGGGUAGCUUGCUACCUAACCUAGCGGCGGACGGGUGAGUAAUGCUUAGGAAUCUGCCUAUUAGUGGGGGACAACAUCUCGAAAGGGAUGCUAAUACCGCAUACGUCCUACGGGAGAGAGCAGGGGACCUUCGGGCCUUGCGCUAAUAGAUGAGCCUAAGUCGGAUUAGCUAGUUGGUGGGGUAAAGGCCUACCAAGGCGACGAUCUGUAGCGGGUCUGAGAGGAUGAUCCGCCACACUGGGACUGAGACACGGCCCAGACUCCUACGGGAGGCAGCAGUGGGGAAUAUUGGACAAUGGGGGGAACCCUGAUCCAGCCAUGCCGCGUGUGUGAAGAAGGCCUUUUGGUUGUAAAGCACUUUAAGCGAGGAGGAGGCUACUGGUAUUAAUACUACCGGAUAGUGGACGUUACUCGCAGAAUAAGCACCGGCUAACUCUGUGCCAGCCGCCGCGGUAAGAC
rnacentral:rRNA from 1 species